UACGAAGGGGGCUAGCGUUGCUCGGAAUUACUGGGCGUAAAGGGCGCGUAGGCGGCCGAUCAAGUCAGGCGUGAAAUUCCCGGGCUCAACCUGGGGGCUGCGCUUGAGACUGGUUGGCUAGAGGCCGAGAGAGGGUGGUGGAAUUCCCAGUGUAGAGGUGAAAUUCGUAGAUAUUGGGAAGAACACCGGUGGCGAAGGCGGCCACCUGGCUCGGUACUGACGCUGAGGUGCGAAAGCGUGGGGAGCAAACAGG
rnacentral:rRNA from 1 species